CCCCUAGAUGUUCUGGGCCGCACGCGCGCUACACUGAACAGUUCAACAAGUCUUAACCUUGGCCGAUAGGUCUGGGUAAUCUUUGAACGCUGUUCGUGAUUGGGAUAGACCUUUGCAAUUAUUAAUCUUCAACGAGGAAUGCCUAGUAAGCGCAAGUCAUCAGCUUGCGUUGAUUACGUCCCUGCCCUUUGUACACACCGCCCGUCGCUCCUACCGAUUGAAUGGUCCGGUGAAGCGUUCGGACCGUGGCCUUUGGACGGUUCGCCGUCUGUUGGCUGCGGGAAGUUCGUUAAACCUUAUCAUUUAGAGGAAGGAGAANUCGUAACA
rnacentral:rRNA from 1 species